rnacentral:rRNA from 1 species
AACUAUAACGGUCCUAAGGUAGCGAAAUUCCUUGUCAGGUAAGUUCUGACCCGCAUGAAAGGCGUAAUGAUUUGGGCACUGUCUCAACAGCCCGCCCGGCGAAAUUGUAGUACCGGUGAAGAUGCCGGUUACCCGCGACAAGACGGAAAGACCCCAUGGAGCUUUACUGUAGCCUAAUAUUGGGUUUCGAUGUUGCAUGCACAGGAUAGAUGGGACACUAGGAAGCAGGUGCUUUGGCGCUUGUGGAGUGGCCGUUGGGAUACCAUCCUUGCGAUAUUGGAAUUCUAACCUGCGCCUUUGAAUCAAGGCGGGGGACAUUGUUAGGUGGGCAGUUUGACUGGGGCGGUCGCCUCCUAAAGAGUAACGGAGGCGUUCAAAGGUUCGCUCAGCUUGAACGGAAAUCAAGCAAAAGAGUGCAAACGCAGAAGCGAGCCUAACUGCGAGACUGACGGGUCGAGCAGUAACGAAAGUUGGAGUUAGUGAUCCGGUGGUAUGUGAGUGGAAAUGCCAUCGCUCAACGGAUAAAAGUUACCCUGGGGAUAACAGGCUGAUCUCCCCCAAGAGUCCACAUCGACGGGGAGGUUUGGCACCUCGAUGUCGGCUCAUCGCAUCCUGGGGCUGUAUUCGGUCCCAAGGGUUUGGCUGUUCGCCAAUUAAAGCGGUACGCGAGCUGGGUUCAGAACGUCGUGAGACAGUUCGGUCCCUAUCUGUCGUGGGCGCAGGAUAUUUGAUGGGAGCUGUUCCUAGUACGAGAGGACCGGAGCGGACGUACCUCUGGCGCACCAGUUGUUCUGCCAAGAGCAUAGCUGGGCAACUAUGUACGGAUCGGAUAAACGCUGAAAGCAUCUAAGCGUGAAGCCGACCCAAAGAUAAGAUAUCCCAUUGUUUCAAACAAGUAAGACCCCUUGAAGACUACAAGGUUGAUAGGCACGAUGUGUAAGUGGAGCGAUCCAUUCAGCAAGCGUGUACUAAUAGGUCGAGGGCUUGACCAC